AAAAAAAAAAAAGAAAAGGAAAAAGAUGAUAGUCCCUUCCAUAUACAAAUGUAAUCCAUUUUUCUCUAAUAUUUUAUUUUGUGAACUGGAUUUCUAUUGCAACUUUAUGUUUGUUUUAGGUUUAUUUUAGAGGGAUACGGAUUCACAUUUAUCUGUUCUGAGUUUUAAGCACAAUUCUACUAAAGUUUUGCUUCGGCUGUCAAUAAUUCAAUGGUAAUAGUUUCCCAUUGACCAACUCCUAGGGAUUAAGGCUAGAGAUUUGAACAUCAACCAAUAACCAAUUUUGUUCAGGAUUUUUUUUGUAUGAAUCAUCAUCUAAUGUUCACCUUAAAUUGUGAACUACAUAUUAUCUACUUAUUAUUUUGUUUAAUCUGCGCUUGUUUGCCUUCAGUUUGUAAAAUGUCUCUUGCUAGAACUGCAUUAUUAUUAUUAUUAUUAUU
rnacentral:misc_RNA from 1 species